rnacentral:rRNA from 1 species
UACGUAGGGGGCAAGCGUUGUCCGGAAUAAUUGGGCGUAAAGGGCGCGUAGGAGGCAAGGCAAGUCAGCAGUGGUAGUCCCAUUUUCAAGGUGGGGAGGGCUGUUGAAACUGCGUUGCUUGAGUGCAGGAGAGGUUAUCGGAAUUCCCGGUGUAGCGGUGAAAUGCGUAGAGAUCGGGAGGAACACCAGUGGCGAAGGCGGGUAACUGGACUGCAACUGACGCUGAGGCGCGAAAGUGUGGGGAGCAAACAGGAUUAGAUACCCUGGUAGUCCCU